UACGUAGGGUCCGAGCGUUGUCCGGAAUUACUGGGCGUAAAGAGCUCGUAGGUGGUUUGUCGCGUUGUUCGUGAAAACUCACAGCUCAACUGUGGGCGUGCGGGCGAUACGGGCAGACUGGAGUACUGCAGGGGAGACUGGAAUUCCUGGUGUAGCGGUGGAAUGCGCAGAUAUCAGGAGGAACACCGGUGGCGAAGGCGGGUCUCUGGGCAGUAACUGACGCUGGAGGAAGCCGAAAGCGUGGGGGAGCGAACAGG
rnacentral:rRNA from 1 species